UGUUUUUACUUUUGAAAUUCUAUACACAAUAGUACUAAUAUUCACAUCGGUCUUUGAGGUCAUUGAAAUAUAAGAUUUCUAUGUGAAAAAACGAAGUGUUCACCUUGGUCUUCCCAUGCCCUGUUUUUUAAGAAUUUAUGGUCAAGGGUCAAUCGACAGAUUACCAAUAGUUGUUUUCAUCUUCAUCUAGGGUCAUACCCAACCCCUGACUUUAAAAUUUGUCAAAACAUAUAGAUAUUUGAGAUGCUCAUCCUAAAACAAUAAUUUCCUUUUUUGUCAAGUAUGUUGACUAGGUGCAAGGAUGUCAUUUAUUACAUUUUAUUCUUAGUACGUUAUAAAUAAUAACAAGAUUCAGGGUUACACUAAUGACUGGACCGAAUGACAGGACCAAAUGAAAAAUACUAAUAACUUUUUCAUUUCUCAAAGGAUUGAUCUCAAAUUUGAAAUAUAAUAGGAUUUCAUUAUUUGAUAUAUAGAUUUUUUUUUAAAUUGAAAAAAAAAAAUGUAAGAAAGUUUAGAAAAAGUGACAUGACCAACUCUGAUAAUGACAGGAGUAGCAUCGACAAUGACAGCAACAAAUAAAAAUGCUAAUAUUUUUUUUAUUUUUCAAAGGAAUUAUCUCAGAUUUAGAACAUAAAAUGAUAUGUCAUAUUUUAAAACCUAAAUGAUAUAAAAAAUACAGUUUUUUUUUCAAAAAUAUUCGUAAACGUGACAUGACCAUCGCUGACUGACAGGACUAACCUCGACAAUGACAGGACCAAAUGAAAUUGCUAAUAACUUUUUCAUUUUUCAAAGGAUUGAUCACAAAUUUGAAAUAUAAUAAGAUUUCAUCAUUUGAUAUAUAGACUUAAGAAAAAAAAUGAAAGAUUUAUAAGAAACUUUAGAAAACGUGACAUGACCAACUUUGAUAAUGACAGGACCAACAUCGACAAUGACAGGACCAAAAAAAAUGCUAAAAACUUUUUUAUUUUUAAAAGGAAUUAUCUCAGAUUUGAAAUAUAAAAUGAUAUGUCAUAUUUUAAAACAUAAAUGUUAUAAAAAAUACAGAUUUUUAUUCAAAAUCUUUCGAAAACGUGACAUGACCAUCACUGACUGACAGGACCAACCUCGACAAUGACAGGACCAGAUGAAAUGGCUAAUUACUCUUUUAUUUUUAUCAAAUGGUGGUUAAAAAUCUUGACUUAGCUGCUAAACGUAUGUUGGCGGACAGAGAGUCACAGGACAAAAAGACACGAAUGAUAAGUAUAUUUAAGAAAGAGAUCUCGAAAUAUUUACAUGUUAUUUAUUACAUAUAUAAUCAUUUGGGCGAUACUUUUUGCGCCAAUACUUCUUUUGCGCCGCCCAAUUUUCAAAACUAUAGGUGUCAUUUGCGCAAAUAAAAUAAUCAUCUAAUUGCGCCAAUUUUAUUUAUUUUUAUUCAUAUAUAACCACUAAAUGAUUGACUUCCCUCCUCCUUUAUCUGGGCUUGGGAUCUGCAGUUUACAGACUCCGCAUAACUUUUGUUAUUAAAGUCAUUUGAAUAACAAAAAUUAUGCUGAAUUAAAAUGAAUAUGAUCUAAUUCUCCGUUCAAAAUAAUUGUACAUGAUUCAUCUGUUAAUAACCUAGAACAACACUUAAUUGUUCAUCUCCACUUAUUUCUCCUGUUUUCUUCUACAAUGAUUCUACAAUGAUGACCGGUUUAUCUCUAUCAGACUCUAUUUUCUUGAAUGGUAUAUCAGAUAAACAAUUUAUUUUUUGGUGAGUUUUCUUAAAUUUGAUGAAGAUUCAACAUUGCAUUAUUUUUAAAUCUAAAUUUGAUCUCCGAUUUAUGAAUAUUUGUAUAACGAUGAUAUGAUGGAAAUCGUCACUCUUGAAACAUAUAUUCACUUUCGUGUUUAUCAAGCCAACAUGAUUUGAAUUAUAGACUUUGUUGGUCCCUGCCGUUUUACAAUGUUCAGAAUUGUUGAGAUCUCUACCCUAAACCUAUAUAUUUUAUCGUUUUUCAAGUCAAGAUGAACUGAGUGAAAUAAAUGUAUAAGAACUUCGUUUGGGAGACUUAAUAACAGAAUCGUGUUACAAUCAUUAUCGUUGUAUGUUAUGUUUAAUCUAAUUUGUAAUAACAUGAAUUAGAAAUAAAUGAAAUAUCUAUUAUUAUUGUAACCUCUUUUGAAAUGAAUGGUUGUAUUGUUUAAC
rnacentral:lncRNA from 1 species